rnacentral:tRNA from 1 species
GGGCGGUUAGCGCAGUUGGUUAGCGCGCCACGUUGACAUCGUGGAGGUCAGAGGUUCGAACCCUCUACCGCCCACCA